rnacentral:rRNA from 1 species
UGACCUCGGAUCAGGUAGGGAUACCCGCUGAACUUAAGCAUAUCAAUAAGCGGAGGAAAGGG